UGUAAUUGUUCUGUUGCCGUGGCAACUAUCAACCUGCAGAGUCAGCUAGUUCAGGGUGAGCUUGCUGUGGCUUGGGUGCUGGCCCAGCCAGCAGACCCUCCUUCAGCAUUACGGAAACACCCCAUUCGGUGCCCUCCAAGUCCCAGCAGGAUCUCCCAGCCCUCUGUGCUCACCUGUCUUGGCAGCUACUCAGGAAGUUUGUGCUGCUGAUAGUCCACAGAAACUGUGACUGGCCCCCUCUCCUCAACAAGAAACUGGUGUCACCCUUGGCUUUCAGGGGUUCACUAUUGGCCAUGUGGAGGCUCUUCAAAGAAGAUUCUGAAGUGUCAGAGUAGGAACAAUGUGACUUUGUUGGAGCUGGAAUUGGAGACUGAGCACAGCUGUAGCGCUCUCGGCGCCUCCCUGGCCCUCUGCGGCACUUCCUGUCACUGAGCUGUCCAGGGAGAGAGCCUUGUGGAUGGGUAGGUAACUGAGCCCACUUCACACAGAGGGCACUCACACCCAGCGCCCCUGUGAUGACCAAGAGUCCCAGCUCAAAGGAACAUCUGCAAUGCUUCCCUCCUUCCUUCAUCUCCCCUAGUAUCUCCCACCCCAAGGUUGGUUUCAGCACUUUGCACUUCUGUGGAAGCUUUUAUCUCGGUCCAUUUUGCAUAGCUUCUUCCCUCCCCUCCAAAGACACCACCUACCUUCUACCAAUGCAGACCCGCUUCCCAGUUUUGAAUAUUAUACAAAUGAUCGCAUUAGGUGUCCUAUUGUUGGACUUGUACAAAACUGGCUUUGUUUCUGUCAGCUCUGGUAUUGGAGCCUGGUGAGCUUCAGGAGCAACUUCUGAAAGAGAAGCCUUGCAGGGAAAGCUUUCCUGCCAAAUGCCUGAGAGGAACUGUAUUUCUUCAGAUGGGCUUUUGAGCUUGGCCUCCAGGUGUCAACUUUUAUAAGGCUUCCUGUACUGUAACAGGGUGUAGCCAAGAGGGGGACCCCAAAUAGGGAUUUGUAAUGGGGUCCAGAACUCAAGAUGUCCAGGAAAUAU